AGAGUUUGAUCCUGGCUCAGGAUGAACGCUAGCGGCAGGCUUAACACAUGCAAGUCGAGGGGUAACGGGGAAGCUUGCUUCCGCCGACGACCGGCGCACGGGUGCGUAACGCGUAUACAAUCUACCUUGUACUGGGGUAUAGCCUUUAGAAAUGAAGAUUAAUCCCCCAUAGUCUCUUAGAGUGGCAUCACUUCUAGAGUAAAGGUUACGGUAUAAGAUGAGUAUGCGUUCCAUUAGUUUGUUGGUGUGGUAACGGCACACCAAGACUACGAUAGAUAGGGGCCCUGAGAGGGGGAUCCCCCACACUGGUACUGAGACACGGACCAGACUCCUACGGGAGGCAGCAGUGAGGAAUAUUGGACAAUGGAGGCAACUCUGAUCCAGCCAUGCCGCGUGCAGGAAGACUGCCCUAUGGGUUGUAAACUGCUUUUAUACAGGAAGAAACACCUCUACGUGUAGAGGCUUGACGGUACUGUAAGAAUAAGGAUCGGCUAACUCCGUGCCAGCAGCCGCGGUAAUACGGAGGAUCCAAGCGUUAUCCGGAAUCAUUGGGUUUAAAGGGUCCGUAGGUGGAUAAUUAAGUCAGAGGUGAAAUCUUGCAGCUCAACUGUAAAAUUGCCUUUGAAACUGGUUAUCUUGAGUUAUUAUGAAGUAGUUAGAAUAUGUAGUGUAGCGGUGAAAUGCAUAGAUAUUACAUAGAAUACCAAUUGCGAAGGCAGAUUACUAAUAAUCAACUGACACUGAUGGACGAAAGCGUGGGUAGCGAACAGGAUUAGAUACCCUGGUAGUCCACGCCGUAAACGAUGGUUACUAGCUGUUUGGACUUCGGUCUGAGUGGCUAAGCGAAAGUGAUAAGUAACCCACCUGGGGAGUACGUUCGCAAGAAUGAAACUCAAAGGAAUUGACGGGGGCCCGCACAAGCGGUGGAGCAUGUGGUUUAAUUCGAUGAUACGCGAGGAACCUUACCAGGGCUUAAAUGUAAGUUGCAUUAGCUAGAGAUAGCUAUUUCUUCGGACCACUUACAAGGUGCUGCAUGGUUGUCGUCAGCUCGUGCCGUGAGGUGUCAGGUUAAGUCCUAUAACGAGCGCAACCCCUGUUGUUAGUUGCCAGCGAGUCAUGUCGGGAACUCUAACAAGACUGCCAGUGCAAACUGUGAGGAAGGUGGGGAUGACGUCAAAUCAUCACGGCCCUUACGUCCUGGGCUACACACGUGCUACAAUGGUAGGUACAGAGAGCAGCCACUGCGCGAGCGGGAGCGAAUCUAUAAAACCUAUCACAGUUCGGAUCGGAGUCUGCAACUCGACUCCGUGAAGCUGGAAUCGCUAGUAAUCGGAUAUCAGCCAUGAUCCGGUGAAUACGUUCCCGGGCCUUGUACACACCGCCCGUCAAGCCAUGGAAGUUGGAAGUGCCUGAAGUCCGUCACCGCAAGGAGCGGCCUAGGGUAAAGUCGAUAACUAGGGCUAAGUCGUAACAAGGUA
rnacentral:rRNA from 1 species